UUGACGGGGCCCGCACAAGCGGUGGAGCAUGUGGUUUAAUUCGAAGCAACGCGAAGAACCUUACCAGGCCUUGACAUGCAGAGAGCUUUCCAGAGAUGGAUUUGGUGCCUUCGGGAACUCUGACACAGGUGCUGCAUGGCCGCCGUCAGCUCGUGUCGUGAGAUGUAGGGUUAAGUCCCGAAACGAGCGCAACCCCUAUUCUAUGUUACAAGUGUCUUAGAAAACCGCCUCGGUAAAACGAGGAGGAAGGUGGGGAUGACGUCUGGUCCGCAUAGCCCUUAUGUCCUGGGCUACACACGCGCUACAAUGGCCGAUACAGUGGGAAGCCAAAUCGUAAGAUGGAGCUAAUCCUUAAAGUCGGUCUCAGUUCGGAUUGAGGUCUGAAAUUCGACCUCAUGAAGUUGGAUUUGCUAGUAAUCGUAGAUCAGCAAUGCUACGGUGAAUACGUUCUCGGGUCUU
rnacentral:rRNA from 1 species